CAGCAGCCGCGGGAAUACGUAGGGUGCAAGCGUUAAUCGGAAUUACUGGGCGUAAAGCGUGCGCAGGCGGUUAUAUAAGACAGAUGUGAAAUCCCCGGGCUCAACCUGGGAACUGCACUUGUGACUGUAUAGCUAGAGUACGGCAGAGGGGGAUGGAAUUCCGCGUGUAGCAGUGAAAUGCGUAGAUAUGCGGAGGAACACCGAUGGCGAAGGCAAUCCCCUGGGCCUGUACUGACGCUCAUGCACGAAAGCGUGGGGAGCAAACAGGAUUAGAUACCCGGGUAGUCCCUGUCUCUUAUAA
rnacentral:rRNA from 1 species